UGAGCAAGAAGGCCAUCCACCAUGCAGUGUAAUGUCUUGCUAAGAGAAAUUAGUAUUCAGUCUGCUCAGGUUCCAGCAAGGACUUUCUUCAUGAAGAUCUUCAAGUGGAAUCAAGGCAGCCUUGCCCAUGAAGUCAUGCCUGUGGCUCCACUGAGAAAUUCGAUUAAGUAUUCCAAUACUGCUGUGAAACGAAGUGAUCUGAUUCCGGAUGAAGAAGUUACCUCAGAGAAGUCAAAUAAUUUACCCAGAGUCACAAAAUAAGCAAAUGAUGGAAUAUUCAAAUCCAGGUCUUCUGACUCUACCUCUAUCUGCCUUAGAGGUUUCUGAAGUAUUGAUAAGAUGGAGGCUGGAAGAGCUUGAAACAGACCAUAUAAAGCCAGGUCUGAGCUGGAAAAGCAAAGAGGCCCAAGGAACAGCACAGACCCUGACUGGUGGGGUAUCUGUGUAUUUUAAAUAACAAAUACAACAAAGAUUCAAGGUUCAGCAUGUACCCAGAUGUUUCCAUUAUUGAUAUAUAUAUGCCAGUUUAAAAUAUUUAAAUGGAAAACAGUUUGUGUCCACUUCAUUUUAGAACUAUGCCAGUUACAGGAAUCACCCCAGUAUCAGUUAUGUCUUACUCAUGUCAAAGAACCAGGGUCAGAAGAAAAAAAUCUCCAGUAAAGAUCCUUGCAACUCAGGAACACUCUUUCCUCUGAAUACUGCUAUGAACUAGAGUUAAAAGAAAGCAUUUUUUAAAAGAAAUGAUUUAUUCGUUCCUCAUGAUAAACAUAUCAAAACAUCACAUUGUACCACAUAAAUAUAUGCAAUUAUUUGGUUAACUGAAAAUAAAAUAAAAUUUAAAAAGAAAUAGAACGAACCUGAGUUAAAC
rnacentral:lncRNA from 1 species